CUCCUCCUCCUCCUCCUCCUCCUCCUCCUCCUCCUCCUCCUCCUCCUUCUCCUCCUCCUCCUCUGUCCACACAACACGUCUGUACAUUAUUAUCAUUAUUAUGCUUGAGAUUUAUAUUGUUCUGAGAAACUAGACAAAGCUAGAAAAUUAACGAAAAGGAAAGCAUUAUUUUGUGUACAUGAGCGUUUUAGAAAACCUCUAGGCACGCACGCACACACGCACACACGCACAUGCACGCACACGCACGCAGGAACUCGACGGUGGAAAAUGAUUAAACAACAUGACAGAAAUUGAGAUAGACAGGAGGCAACAACUGGAGCAACAACUACAACAACAACAACUGCGCCGUAGAGGAUCAUUCGCGUCUGCUUAAAAUGUAAAAUAGAUCAAUCAUUUAUAUACUUUUUUUUUCUUCUCAUUUUCAUAGUUUUUUUUUUUUCUACAUUUGUACCCUCUUCAAAUUCACCGCCCUUGACAUACAUUCACACGCUCGUGGCCUCGCUGUGUGCUGGGGUCAGGUGUAGACAAGUGAUUAGUAACUACAUAGGUUUGCAAGAUGUCUCGAAUGCCUACAAAAAUAGUACUUGCUUUAAUGGGAUCAGGGGAGAGGGACGUGUGCUGUUACUGGAGUGUUGGUGAUGGGAGUGGCUUGUAUUCUUAAACGCCUUGUUCUCUCGUUUUCAAAGGGCACGUGGGGUGAUUACUAAGAUUCUGUUUUCCCUAUUGGUGGUGUUGGGUCACUGUUAAACUAUUACUAGAGUCAUGGACACACUUUUGAAUAACUCAAACUACAACCUAUUGAAAGUAAUUGAGAGGGUCACGAUUUUAACUAUCAUUAAUGUUACUAGAUUCCAGAAUAACUCAAAAUCUGUUUAAAACUGAGAGGGUCACUGUUAGACUAUCAGUAGUCACAAAAGUACUCCUGAACACCUUCCACUGGGUCCUGUUGAGAGUAGCUGAGAGCAGAUGAGGAAACGUUUAAGAAUACUCGCCAGUGUGUGGUGUUACUGAAUUACCGUGUAGCGGAUCACCAAACUGACUGACUGGUUACCGUGAUAGCGGGUCACCACACUGCCUGUCUGACUAGUGAGUUAGGUUAGGCUUUGUGAACCAGCCGCCUCCUCAGAGGAGCUGCCAGGGCAAGUGAGGACUCAGGGAGGGGACUUAGCCGCCCCUUUCCCCGCCGCGGCUCAGAACGCGUGGCGCCUCGGCGGGUCUCGUCCCCCUCACACAGCUAGAGAAGCAGCAGCAGCAGUAGUAGCGCAGCGGCAGCAGUAGUAUCAGCAGUAGCAACAGCAGCGGGGCAGUAGGGGGCGGAGGCAGGGACGCAGCAGGCGCCCCUCAGCCUCUACGGGGAACGGGAAGCGGCUGCGGCGAGGCGAGGGUGACCACCGCCAGGCCGACAUUGUACUGAAGGGAGUGUUGCCGAGCCGCGGCAGCCUCCCCCGGCAGCUCCUGACGGCGGCGCUGCUGGUGACUGUGUGUAUGUGUGUGUGUGUGUGUGUGUGUGUGUGUGGAAGCCGAGGAGGAGAUGGCGGGCGUCGGAGUAAACAAAGGAGGACAUGGACUAUUUACUCCCUGUAUUUCAGAACCAGCUAUGUAUGUAUGUAUGUAUUAAUGAAUUACCGUUACUCGAAGCGUCUCAUGCUUUUUGGAAUAUUAUACGCUACUCUCCUGCGAGGGAAAAAACUGUAACACAAGAGAGAGAGAGAGAGAGAGAGAGAGAGAGAGAGAGAGAGAGAGAGAGAGAGAGAGAGAGAGAGAGAGAGAGAGAGAGAGAGAGAGAA